GCUUAUGGUAAUUGCCUAAUGUGUGAGGUGUAGAAAGCUCCAAGUCCCUGCUUGCCAGGGAGAACCUAGUUGGAGUCCUACAUUCAAAUGAAAUUUAUGGGCGUUUUCUGAGGA
rnacentral:snoRNA from 2 species